rnacentral:rRNA from 1 species
CCUUGACAUACUAAGAACUUUCCAGAGAUGGAUUGGUGCCUUCGGGAACUUAGAUACAGGUGCUGCAUGGCUGUCGUCAGCUCGUGUCGUGAGAUGUUGGGUUAAGUCCCGCAACGAGCGCAACCCUUUUCCUUAUUUGCCAGCGGGUCAUGCCGGGAACUUUAAGGAUACUGCCAGUGACAAACUGGAGGAAGGCGGGGACGACGUCAAGUCAUCAUGGCCCUUACGGCCAGGGCUACACACGUGCUACAAUGGUCGGUACAAAGGGUUGCUACCUCGCGAGAGGAUGCUAAUCUCAAGAAGCCGAUCGUAGUCCGGAUCGCAGUCUGCAACUCGACUGCGUGAAGUCGGAAUCGCUAGUAAUCGCGGAUCAGAAUGCCGCGGUGAAUACGUUCCCGGGCCUUGUACACACCGCCCGUCACACCAUGGGAGUUUGUUGCACCAGAAGUAGGUAGUCUAACCGCAAGGAGGACGCUUACCACGGUGUGGCCGAUGACUGGGGUGAAGUCGUAACAAGGUAGGCGUAGAUGA